rnacentral:lncRNA from 1 species
UGAAAUAUGAAGGUAAUUGAAAUCUGAAAUGAAUGAUUUUCGCCACAGAGGAAACAUGGAGGGUAGUUCGUUGUCGCCGUGUCCCUGCUGCCAAAAACGAGGAUGGCUGGAACAGAGACUCAGGGUUGCUGCUGCUGUGGCCAUCGUGAGGCUGAGACAAAGAGGCGUUUUAAUUCUCUGUGCUGAAGAAACUACAAAAGCUAACGAAGAGCGUAAUCUAGGCGAAGAAAAUGGGAGGGAGAAGGAAAAUGGAUGCACAUCAAAUUUAAACAUUGUGUCCUUUUCACGUACUGCACGCGUCCUCCAGAGCCUUACCUCUUCUCGCCUCACACCUGGAGAGAGAGAUCCUGCGUAUCACACGUCAGGACUUCCACAAAACUCUUGCCUCUUUCCCCCACUCGACCUCAUCCUUUCUACCCUCUGUCACCACAUUAUCGAUUUGGAUGCUCAACUUUGCUUGGGCCAGUCUAGGGAGGUACAACCUGGCUUUGGCGUAAAUGCAAUCUCGCAAACGGACACCCGUGUAGCUGUCUUACCAACACUCCAGGCAUUGCGGGGUGUGGAUCUGAGCUACAGUCAGGCGUCUUCAGCUCUCCAAAAUCUAAUGAGCCAACUGAAUGAGUUGUGGCCAGGAACGGUGGGCUUGUGGUCCCGCGUGAGGCGUGUUGCCACUUGGUUCACUCGGGAGUUGCUGAAAUUGCUGCUUAAAGAUUGUGAGCUGGGAAGGUUCCCUAGGCAGAGGCAGCGAGUGGCCGUGCUGUCUAAUUUGGCUUGUGCUCAGUUGUUGCAGCCCCUUUUGACCUCUGAAAUCUUGAACUCACUCGAAGGUUUCUCCAAUAUUAUAGAGGAAACAUUAUUUUAUGAAAACUCGAUCUUCAUCCUGGAACUUCUCUCACAGAAUGGGCUACUGGCUCCACUCGCUGGUUCCUCGUCACGUUUACUCCACUCACCCAUGUUGCAGUCCUCUUGUUAUCCGCUUUAUCACAUCUACACCAGCCAUAUGUUUCGCUAACUCAUUUUGCUUUGCAUUAACCUCAUUCUGCUCUGUGUACACUCCUGUAAGUCUCUCAAAUAUAUCUAUUUUUCAAAAGUACACUAUGCAUUGAUCAUUCUUCUUGACGGGAACGUAUGAAAAUGACAAACCGUUUUACAAUUACACCAUGUACAAUGGUACCGUUUUUAUUGACUAUCACACCACACACACACACACACACACACACACACACACACACACACACACACACACACACACACACACACACACACACAC